ACUGAGACUUGCUUCUGAGAGACUGUCAUCUUCCGGUCCCAGCACUUGUCACUUUAAGAGUCUUUGUUGUAACGUGUUGGGUGGUGUAAACACUAAAGAAGGUAUGCUGUGUGCUAACUUCUUUCGAGUAUGGUAACUCUGUGUGAAUAGUUGCCAUUAAUAGUUGGAGUGUUACAGUAACCCCUAGUUGUACACAGUUGUGCUAUGUUGGCCUGUGUGGCCAGAUUCACUGUUAAGAUUGUUUUUCAACUUUGUUCUGUUGUUAUUGUGAGAUUAUUUGUAGGGAGGAGGAUGUUCUUUAAUUUGAGAAUCUGUUUUCUUCUGUGUUUGAUUAGAGAGGGAGUAAGGGAAGCAUUUGUCUUUUUGUUUCAUUUCUUUUAAUGCUAGGUAAGGCAGUUUAACAAAUCCUCAGUUAGAGUUCCUUUUGUUUGUUGUUUUGGCUUUUUCCCCUCCUGAAGUCUUAUGUUUGUGUUCCACUGAUUAACUUAAAAUAAACAUUGUAUGUCUUUUCAUAUUUAAAACUGGUGUGGCGAUUUGUGUUUGUCCUGGGACCUGGAGACGGGAGUUCUCUCACUCUCUCCCCGCAAUUUUUGUUACGCUUCUUCCCGGCCCCUAGAUUAAAAAUGGGGAACGUAACAAAAGCAACAUGGUUGUUUCCAGGUUUGGGAAGAAAGACUUCGUUGUACCUAAAGGCAUGGGCUGUGUGGUUGCGACAAUGGUUUUAUUUCUUGACGGAUUCCAUGUCCCGUGGUUUGGACCAAUACUGUGAUGGAGCAUAUUGUUGGGUUCAUCCCGGAACUACUUUGGUGCGUUCAGCACAACAGCACGUCUAUCAUCUGAGAAAAGUAAACGGUGAUGCCUUGUUGAUCAUUCCCAUUGGGACAAACGAUGUGGCUAUUGGAGUUUUAGCGGAAACAGUCGUUAAACGAAUGGCCUUGCUGGUGGAUCGCCUUCGUCACUCUUUUAAAUACAAACUGUAUUGUGCUAUUUGUUCUGUUUUGCCUUGUUAUGUUGAUGACAACCAAACUAAACAUAUUGUGAAGCGGUGCAAUACAUUGUUGAAAAGAUGGUCUAGUGAGAUGGACAAUGUUGUUUUUUUGCGAACGUGAAGAGCAUAUGUGUCUGGAGGAUGUAUAUGUUCUGUCCAGGGCCGGAGUGGGACUCAUUUUCAGCCCUGGAGUUUCAUGCCUUGGACCGGCCCG
ensembl:lncRNA